CUCGAGAUUGCCUUGUGGAUAAGGCUUUGAAUUGCCAAUCCAGAGACGGCAGGUUCGAUUCCUGUUUCGAUC
rnacentral:tRNA from 1 species